AGCAUGUUAGCUCAGGGGGAGAGCGCCGGGCUCAUAUCCCUAACAAACAAUAGGUCCCUGGAUCGAAACCAGGACAUGCUA
rnacentral:tRNA from 1 species